CGGGGAGUAGCUUAGCUUGGUAGAGCGCCUGGUUUGGGACCAGGAGGUCGCAGGUUCAAAUCCUGUCUCCCCGA
rnacentral:tRNA from 1 species